rnacentral:tRNA from 1 species
CGACCGCUUCAGCCGGUAUUCGAGCACGCGGCUGUCGAGCGCGAACGUGCGCACGCGCGAGCGGUCGGGUGCCGCGCCCGGAGCGGGCGG